GUGGUCAGAAUUUAGCAAUUUUGCCAAUUUCACACAAAUUUCAAAAGAUGCCAAUAUCGGAAUAGGGUUCAGAAUAAACAAGAAAGACAUUCCUGGCACUAAAAUGACAUUUCCUCUAGUCAUUAGUCACGUCUCAAGGCCCCUCUUAUAUUCUUUUGCUUUCCACUUUGAAUUUUUAUUCUCACAAAAAAUAUAAGAUUUACUGUUAUGCAGACUACUGCAUUAGUGUAAAAAAUGGUAUAAAUAUUAUUGGUGCACUUGUGAAAGAAUAUUAGACUCACCAGUUGACGUGUAUUGCACGCUUGGCACGAUUUGUUUACUUUUGAAGUUUGGUAAAAAUCGAACAUUUCUGCUACUUUGAGCUCAAUUUCAAGGCACCUUUCAUUGUAAAACCAGUCAAAAUCAUCUCAAUUUCAGUAAUAUGUCUUCCAUUCUAUAAAAUGAGACCAAGAAAACUAGAAUACAACAAUAAAUACCAUACGAAAAUACACUGCAAAGUCGCUGAUUUAUUAAAAAAAAUGGAAAAAGUUUUUUUUUUCUCAUUAUGCACUGUGUGCUGCAGGAUUUUUUUUAGACUGUGCACACUGACCACAUAGACCCAUUCUUUCAUAUGAAGGCCUACCAGCUUUCUCCCUCUAGAUUUGAGGCCGCUAGAAUUUAUGAGUACUAGUACGUCAAAAACCCCUACGCGUAAGACGUACUAGUACGACGAAAACCCUCAAAGGGUUAAAUUUCAGCAUUGACGGUUUUUAGCUCUUUACUAAAUGCAUAUUCUGUUAUUCAUAUUCAGUUAUGUUGUUUCAUAUUAGCAAUGGUAAAAUGCUUUUAUCAAUGCUUAAAAUGCUUUUAUCAGUUUCAUGCGACUCAGAAUACCAUUUCUAUCUCUUCUAAUUACUGUUUUGGUAGUUAAAGAAAUUCAUAAUUACCCUUAAUAUUGCCAUUUAUUUUUACCACCUUAUUUUUACUGCAUUUUCCAAAGAUCAUCCUAUAUUUAAAUUAUUAUUAUUUUUUAUACUGUAUUAAUCUUAAAUAUACUGUACUAUACCUUUUACUUUUAUAAAUAUGCAGUUCACUUUCCCACUUAUUUUGUAAUCAGGACCUGUUACCAAGUGAUCUGUCCAUUUCAUCUUGCAAAAUCUUUCCCUUCUACUCCUUUUUACAAUUAUUCACUCUCAGGCUUAGAGAUCACUACCUAUUCUUUUGUGCUUAUUGACCAACUCGUUCAUUCUUCUCAGUUUUUCAAUUCUUACAUCUUUGGAAAGGCACCAUUGUCCUCUUAGCAGUCUGCCAUAUUCAGCACUGUAGUAAGAGCAAAUAAUCCUAUUAAAUUUCACAUGCAGUGUUAUAUAUUUGUACUUAGAUAUGCUUUGCUUUACAUUCUCAUAAGCAGUUACUCUUACCUGGUAUUCCUUCUUUCACCAUGUAUAUUUAUUUGAUAUAUCCUUAUGUUUAAAAAAUGUAUAUUUAUGAUAUCUUCUUUUCAUUAUACACUCUUUGGUUUGAGGUCAUUAUUAUUUGCACAUGAGAAUUGAUCAUUCUCAUAGCCGAGUCCACUCCUACUAUCCAGACUGUUUAUCCCAGUCUUACACUAACUGUUUGGUAUUAUUCAAGUCUCUCACCCUUUCACUACUUUUUCUCCUAUCAUAUUUAUCCUAUCCUAUAUCUUAUCCUAUCAUAAAACCUAUGGUACUUCACACAGGCACCUUGAUUUAUGUUAUGAGAAGGCCCUUUAAUACAUCAUAUUAUUCAUUAAUAAGCUAAUUCCUUCUGUACCUCACUUAGUUUCUUACUCUUAUUUUUUUAAACUACAUACUGUGCCACUUAUGUGCCCUGCCUUAAGCUAGCUUUUGUUUCACACAGCUCACUGACAUUUAACCUCCCAUCUCUGAACACUUGCACCACUUUCGUUCCUCACUUAUCCCUCUCACAUUCCACACAGCCAUACGUGCCUGCCUUUGCUUUCUGGGACCCGGGCAGGCGCGGGCUCCAGAUCCGAGGCUGUUUUGGCCUUUAGUGGGGAGAAGAUAGAGAAGAUGGGUCCCCAGCCCAAUCUCCUUCCCUUUUAUCACAGGGGAUACGGGGCUGUUUGCCCCACUGAGUGGUGGGCGAUGGGGUCGCCACAUCCCUACGCCCUCGCCACAUCCCUACACCAAGGGAUACAAGACUGAAGCUGAUGGAGCCCCGACCUGCAGCCCACAUGGAGCGCCUGGCAUCAUAACUGUCCUAGCCUAGGAAGCCUCCCUCCUGGUUCCACAGAUCAGAUUUCCAUCAUUACAGGGUCAAGAUGAUAAAUUUUACAGGAGGAAAAUUUUUUCUGUUGACCAAGUUUAAGCUAAAAUCAUUAAAGAGCAGAGACUGUUUCUUAAUGUUGUACAUUCAUUCAUAGUUAAAAUUUCAUUAACAGCUGCAGGUGUACUCUUUAAAUACAAACCAGACAAAUUUAGAAAAUUCUUAAUUUACAAUUGCAUAUAUAUAUACAUAUAUAUAUAUAUCAGUGCAACAAUUGCCCCUGUUCUAUUAUAUAUGUUGGUAUGGAACCUUCAGUGUUGUGGUAAUUGGAGAUAGAAGCCUAUUUAUUGGCUGAACUUAGGAUUUGCUGCAUGCAUUGAAAAAUUGAUGACAGUACCAAUUUUUCUCUGCUUCAUUUUUAAGUUUUAAGGGGGAAAAGGUUUGCUAUGAACCUCUUACUUUUCAAAAACAAAGUUGAAAUAAGGUUGAAGAUGUUUCCAGUCUCAACUUAUCAACAAUGCUCUUUCAGAACAAACCCAGUUUAAAUAGAAAUAGAAGAUUUAAUAAGCUUAUCAUGCCACAUGCUUGCUGUCACCUUGAAGCAAUUUGUAUGUAUAACAACAGAAGAGGUCCAGGUUUUUGUCUCCACUGAAUCCUUGGGCAUCAACAGUGUUCCCCUUGAUAAGAAGCAAUCUCAGGCAAGUCAAGGUGAAUUUAGAUUAUUUAUUCAUUGUUCCUUGAUUGUACCAAAGAAUUCUAGUUCAUCUAGGAACCCAUACCAAAGGUCAGCAGCAGCAGCUCAUUUGAAAGGGUAACAGCAAGCAUGGGUAUGCAGUAGGAUAGAAGAAAAUAUUUUUUGAGUGUAUGAUAUGCCAGAUACAAGAUGUGCUUCUGUAGUAGGUCCUGGCAAGCAUUUGGGAGUGCAGAUGAUAAUGGAGCUUUUCACUUUUUAACAUGAAAACAAGGUGCUGAUAUAUAUACAGCUGCACCUUGAUUUUUUAUGUUUACCAGUGUUUGAAAUGUAUAGUUUUAAUUUGCAUAUCCUAAAAAAUCUUUGGUGUGUCAGUUGAAAUGAAGCUAUGUUUAUUGAUAGCAAUAAACCUUUAAUUAAUGAAAUGACAUAAACAAACAGAUGUGUGCCACACAAGGAUAUCCUCCAAUAUAAUUGGUAGGUUGCAACCUUGUUUCUGCACUAGAGCACAGUCUCUUGUUAAGUAAGUGUGGCAUACAUCCGUCUUGUUCUUUGUAAAUAUUAACACUAUUCUGCUAGUGUUAGAAAAUAUUGAUUGUCCAUAUUUUUUGCCUCUAUUCCGUUCCACUAUUUCAGUCUUAGUUGUUGAUGUUGACCAUAAUAUGUAUGAGGUACAUAUUAGCCAGUGGAGGCUGACUGUUUGACUAGGACUUGCCCUGCUACUCUCAGGUUACAAUUGGUUAAGUAUUUUAUAUUUUAAUAUUCAAAAAUAUCUACAUGUUCAUUAUAGAUUUUUUUUCCCCACGUGAAACUAGGCAGCCCAUAAUAAUACGCCCAGCAUUCAAUUAAAGUAAAUUUUUCACUGCAGCUUGUGAAUAUUCUUGCUGGUAAGGUAGGGCAAGUCCAUAAUAUUGUCUCAGUUGCUGAAUGUGGUAUAUAAUAUACAUAUCUGUUUUGUCAUAUUGUAGUAUGUAUUCAUCAGUGUUUGUUAGGAGGCAUACACGUUUCUCAUUAACUUUAUCUUAAUUGAGUUUUUGAUAUCCUGCUAUGGGAUUUUGAAUUUUAAGAAUAAUUAGGAUGAGUGUUAAGCUUUAAGUGAUGAACCUGUGUGCCCCUGCAUGUAGGCUGGGGAACAGCAAACAAAAAGCUCUUGCUUUUGAAUGCCCCUUGUUCCGCCUGCUGAAUAAACCCCAGUGGUUAUCAUCAAGCUUAGUGGGUCAUUUUCAAGUCUAGUCUGAGGAGAUGCAGAAUAGUUGUUGGUAUCACCACUGCAGAAACAAGUAGCCUGUCCAGGAGUCUGUCUAAAUUGUAAUACAUUUCUAGAUUUGGAUGUUGCUGAAGUUAAUGGAAAAAAUUGCUGUAUUGUUGAUGGAAAAUAAUUAAGUAGGGCUUCAAAUUUCCUGGGCAGGCACUUCUUUUUGGUAGAAGACAGGAGGUCUCUGCUCAAGAUAAUGAAAGAAAGACAAGACAAAACAAAAUAUAAUUGAGUAAGGCAGCCCUGACUCUUGUGCUCAGUAUCCACUGUGAUCUUACAGGUAACUUGAUGUCCCUUCUGCUGCCUUGUGAGAAAAUGCCCACCUUCUGCACCUAUGUAUAUGAUCCUCAGUUUAGACUUGAAACUCUCGGCUUGAUACUUCUCCGUCCAUUUUGAAAACUGUAGCUGUUACGAGCUCAACAGGUGAUGUUCUUUUAGUACAUAUCAGUAGGCAAGUAGAUUUCAGGUGAGAAGGUGUUGCUAUGGUGUCUAUAGUUGGAUGAACCAUUCCGUAGUGUUUACAAUUAGGACCCUUUGUGCUGUAGUUAAUAACCAAUAAUUGUCUUUUUUUAUUCCUUGUUUUUACAAAAAAACACAAAAAACUAAAGUAAUAGAUUAUGGAUUCUUCUCAUCUGAAACUCUGGCCAGUCGGCUUUUCUAGAGGGCCCUUGUUUACAUAUUCCAUCUAAUGGAUAUGUAAAAAAAAAAUAAAAAAAAACACCAAAAAAAACCACAUGACAAAACCAGUGGACAACCAUUCCUUUCCUAGGUUAAAGUUUUACCUAUUCU